UUUUUGCAAACUGCGUUAAGGAUUGGAGCGAUAUCCUUUUUAACUUUUUUGUUAAAAAGAUUUAGCGAAAAGCCUGACCAAGC
rnacentral:sRNA from 1 species